rnacentral:rRNA from 1 species
AUUGAACGCUGGCGGCAGGCUUAACACAUGCAAGUCGAGCGGGGUGAGGUGCUUCGGUACUGAUCCUAGCGGCGGACGGGUGAGUAAUGCUUAGGAAUCUGCCAUUUAGUGGGGGACGACAUUCCGAAAGGAAUGCUAAUACCGCAUACGUCCUACGGGAGAAAGCAGGGGAUCUUCGGACCUUGCGCUAAAUGAUGAGCCUAAGUCGGAUUAGCUAGUUGGUGGGGUAAAGGCCUACCAAGGCGACGAUCUGUAGCGGGUCUGAGAGGAUGAUCCGCCACACUGGGACUGAGACACGGCCCAGACUCCUACGGGAGGCAGCAGUGGGGAAUAUUGGACAAUGGGCGGAAGCCUGAUCCAGCCAUGCCGCGUGUGUGAAGAAGGCCUUUUGGUUGUAAAGCACUUUAAGCGAGGAGGAGGCUACCUGGAUUAAUACUCUGGGAUAGUGGACGUUACUCGCAGAAUAAGCACCGGCUAACUCUGUGCCAGCAGCCGCCGCCGUAA